rnacentral:rRNA from 1 species
CCUUCGGGUUGUAAAGCACUUUCAGUCGUGAGGAAGGUAGUGUAGUUAAUAGCUGCAUUAUUUGACGUUAGCGACAGAAGAAGCACCGGCUAACUCCGUGCCAGCAGCCGCGGUAAUACGGAGGGUGCGAGCGUUAAUCGGAAUUACUGGGCGUAAAGCGCAUGCAGGUGGUUUGUUAAGUCAGAUGUGAAAGCCCGGGGCGUCAACCUCGGAAUAGCAUUUGAAACUGGCAGACUAGAGUACUGUAGAGGGGGGUAGGAAUUUCAGGUGUAGCGGUGAAAUGCGUAGAGAUCUGAAGGAAUACCGGUGGCGAAGGCGGCCCCCUCGGACAGAUACUGACACUCAGAUGCGAAAGCGUGGGGAGCAAACAGGAUUAGAUACCCUGGUAG